rnacentral:rRNA from 1 species
GUGGGGAAUCUUGCGCAAUGGGCGAAAGCCUGACGCAGCCAUGCCGCGUGAAUGAUGAAGGUCUUAGGAUUGUAAAAUUCUUUCACCGGGGACGAUAAUGACGGUACCCGGAGAAGAAGCCCCGGCUAACUUCGUGCCAGCAGCCGCGGUAAUACGAAGGGGGCUAGCGUUGCUCGGAUUUACUGGGCGUAAAGGGCGCGUAGGCGGACAUUUAAGUCAGGGGUGAAAUCCCGGGGCUCAACCUCGGAACUGCCUUUGAUACUGGGUGUCUUGAGUAUGAGAGAGGUGUGUGGAACUCCGAGUGUAGAGGUGAAAUUCGUAGAUAUUCGGAAGAACACCAGUGGCGAAGGCGACACACUGGCUCAUUACUGACGCUGAGGCGCGAAAGCGUGGGGAGCAAACAGGAUUAGAAACCCGAGUAGUCC